GAAGAUAGAGCUCAGUGGUAGAGUUCAUGCUUAGCAUGCACAAGGUCAUGGGUUCAAUCCCUAGUACCUCCA
rnacentral:tRNA from 1 species